rnacentral:rRNA from 1 species
UGGGGAAUAUUGCACAAUGGGCGAAAGCCUGAUGCAGCGACGCCGCGUGAGGGAUGACGGCCUUCGUGUUGUAAACCUCUUUCAGUAGGGACGAAGCGCAAGUGACGGUACCUGCAGAAGAAGCACCGGCUAACUACGUGCCAGCAGCCGCGGUAAUACGUAGGGUGCGAGCGUUGUCCGGAAUUACUGGGCGUAAAGAGCUCGUAGGCGGUUUGUCACGUCGUCUGUGAAAUCCUAGGGCUUAACCCUGGACGUGCAGGCGAUACGGGCUGACUUGAGUACUACAGGGGAGACUGGAAUUUCUGGUGUAGCGGUGGAAUGCACAGAUAUCAGGAAGAACACCGAUGGCGAAGGCAGGUCUCUGGGUAGUAACUGACGCUGAGGAGCGAAAGCAUGGGUAGCGAACAGG